rnacentral:rRNA from 1 species
UACAGAGGGUGCGAGCGUUGUUCGGAAUUACUGGGCGUAAAGCGCGCGCAGGCGGCCUUUUAAGUCUGACGGUGAAAUGCCGGGGCUCAACCCCGUGCCCGCCGGAGAUACUGGGAGGCUGGGGACGAGUAGAGGCAAGCGGAAUUCCGGGUGUAGCGGUGGAAUGCGUAGAGAUCCGGAAGAACACCGGAGGCGAAGGCGGCUUGCUGGGCUCGGUCUGACGCUGAGGCGCGAAAGCGUGGGGAGCGAACAGG